AACAACGCAAAUCAGCCAUGAGUAUACGUAUGUCCCCUCACUCGACCCUCCCCUCACACUCCUCUAGGUUAAUAAAGACUGUAUUUUAAGGGAUGUGCAUCCCCUCUCAAAUUCACAAAGAAGGUGAGAAAAAGAACAGACAGACAAGAAAAAGAAAUAUUGGAGAAGUGUAGAAGGUGUGUGACCAAUCACCAGAAGAAGUGAAAUCUGAGGAGUCAUUAAAAUUAUGGUAAUGUUAUUAAUGAGAAUGAUAUGCAUACAUUUGUAUAGAAUUGUAACAUGUCUAGUUUCUUUUUUUUUUUUUACAUUAUUAUCUCAUUAGACCUUCAGGAUAACCCUGUAGGAUAGACAGAACACAAGUUUCAUGUGAAGAGAUGGAUUUAGUCGAACAAUAUGUCUUUUUGACCUCUGUGAACAUAGCAAAUUUCAUUGUAAAUGAUUUAAGGAAAUAUGCCCAUCUGAAAAAUUUAUUAGUUGGCAUUUUGCUUUAAGUUGUCAGACUGUACCACUAAGGAGCUUAAUGCCCAUUAGUGGUUCACCAGUUAGGGUCAGAAUCAGCCAAUGUUACUCUGGAGCAAAUGGAAAAACAAAAUGAGUUUCUGUGAACUGGGGGUUUUGCUCCAUGUGGGCUUGAGCAUGGUCUUGAAGCGUUUAUUAAGCUUAAAAUCUGGCCAAAGCAACAGGUGCUAAGCAUUUGAUUCUAAACAUCUGUCUUUCUCUCUUCUUUAUAGUAUAUCUACAUGUUGAAACAGACACAGAGCUGGAAGAUGGGAAGCGGAUCAGAAAUGCCCUAGGUUGGUUGCAGUUGUACCUAUCAACCAUUACCCAGCUCUUACUCCAGGACUCCGAACACUUUUUGUGGAACAGACUUUGCUGUGUCCGGUCCCUGGUGCCACCAUCCUCUGCACAGCAUCCUGUACCUGUAGAUUCUGCAGAAGCUCCUGCUUCAUUUCCUGCUGGAAUGGAAUGAUUCAGGAUCCCCCACUGUCCAUCAUCCCUGAGGGGGAGCAGUACUGAAGAAGAGCUUCUCAU
rnacentral:lncRNA from 1 species